UCCCAUCUCAUUCCACAAAGUUACGUGGAGCAAAGUAAAGUAAUACUCGUGUGUUCCUAUUUUCAUCAACUCCUGCUCAAUUUGGCAUGAUCAUAUCUUCUUCAGUGUGCUAUUCAUGACCCUUUCUUAGCUAUUUUUAGGGGAGUGAAAAGGCAAAAGGAUAAAGGAAUGAAGAAUUAUUUAGAGAUGUGCUAGUUGGAGAGUCUUAUAGGCACUGGUCCAGUGCAAGCAUCUGCUAGAAUAGGAAGGAUAAACUCACCUACGCAGCACUUGCUUUUCAUGUGGUUUAUGUCUUCUCGUUUUUUUUGCCUUGUAAUUGUAGGUGUGAUAUUUUAUGUUGUUCAGCAUUGAUAAAUUAGGAGAGUUGCAUAUUUUAUUUUAUUUUAUUCUAUUUUUGUUAAAAAUAAUUGGGGAUGUCAUGGUGAAGACUCUCUCUCUCUCUCAUGAUUUAGGCCUCUGGACAUUUGGCCAUCUGCUAUGGUACUCAUUUUGAAAGUCUUUUAUAUUGUGAAAUACACAUUUGCUAACUUGCAAAAAAAAAUGUAAUCUGUAUAUGGUAUCUAAACUUUUCUAAUUUCUCUUCAUUAAUGGACGUUCCUGUCCUAAACAAUCUGAUCUCAUGAUGUAAUGUGUAGACAUGUGAAAUGGAUUGCUUGGGCAAUGUAGCUGAAA